rnacentral:rRNA from 1 species
AUUGAACGCUGGCGGCAGGCCUAACACAUGCAAGUCGAGCGGAGCGGCGGACGGGUGAGCAAAGCCUAGGAAUCUGCCUGGUAGUGGGGGAUAACGUCCGGAAACGGGCGCUAAUACCGCAUACUAUCAGAUGAGCCUCGUUGGGAUUAGCUAGUUGGUGGGGUAAAGGCCUACCAAGGAGACGAUCAGUAACUGGUCGGAGAGGAUGAUCAGUCACCCUGGAACUGGGACACGGUCCAGACUCCUACGGGAGGAAGCAGUGGGGAAUAUUGGAAAAUGGGCGAAAGCCUGAUCCAGCCAGGCCGCGGAUGUGAAGAGGGUCUUCGGAUUGUAAAGCACUUUAAGUUGGGAGGCGUUACCAACAGAAUAAGCACCGGCUAACUUCGUGCCAGCAGCCGCGGUAAUAC